GCAGCCCCUCACUCGGGGCCCUCAAAGAGCACGCUUAUAAAAACAUUCUUCCCGUGAUGGAGUGCUUCCUUUGGGCUUCUUCGGCUUGUAACAGAUUAAAGGCGAACAGGCAUUUGUCAUGGGGAAGUGUACCCAGUUGUGCUGGAAAAUGGACUUUUCGAUGAGCGUGAGAGCUUGAACCUGUCACAGAGGGGAGAGCCUGUGUUAUUGCAGCCUGCCGGGCCGCGGUGGCCGCUGCGGCUUAUCGGCUGUGGCAGGCAUCACCUACGACUGCAAGGAUCCCAUUACGGAGGCCCUGAAGAGACUGAAUGGGAGAGUGUGACUGCUCCCUGCAAAUCCUCCCCAUGUCUGGACUGAGGAAAUAGCUCGAAGCACCAUCCGUCUCCUGGUGGAGCAGCAGCAGCGUCCAGAGGAAGGGAGCCACCACCCCAGGCUGGGCUAACUCGCAUGAGGACACCACUAACAUUGUCUGCGUUCCAUUUACGUUAGACAGGCAGGUCUACAAUGUUUGAAGUUUACAGAUUUCUUGGAUAUAGCAGUGAAAGGUUUGUAUUUUUUAUCUGUAAGGAAAAAUUGUGAAGUUUACAUCAUUGCAAAAUAAACAGAACUGUGACUUCUGUUUCACAA
rnacentral:lncRNA from 1 species